UCUCAGGUGGAAGUGCCUCCAGUUACUCUUGAUGAUCAACAGCACAAGUCCAGUCAGAGCUCAGAGGAAAUGUCAGCUGGAAACAACAGGAGACAUUAAAUAUCAGCCAUCGCAGAAAGGAAAAGCACAAGAAACAAGUUAAAAAACAGUGAAUGCAUACUCUUCAGACAUCAUCAACUACCGGCCAACAAGGGUACCUGAUCUCCGUGGGCGUGUCUGCCAAUGACGAUGGGCUUCAUCCAGCCCGGCACCAGGCGGGGGAUGUUCUU